CCCGCGCCACUAUUAGUUAGUUGGUAAGGUAACGGCUUACCAAGGCUACGAUAGGUAGGGGUCCUGAGAGGGAGAUCCCCCACACUGGUACUGAGACACGGACCAGACUCCUACGGGAGGCAGCAGUGAGGAAUAUUGGACAAUGGGCGAGAGCCUGAUCCAGCCAUGCCGCGUGCAGGAAGACUGCCCUAUGGGUUGUAAACUGCUUUUAUACGGGAAGAAACACCCCUUCGUGAAGGGGCUUGACGGUACCGUAUGAAUAAGGAUCGGCUAACUCCGUGCCAGCAGCCGCGGUAAUACGGAGGAUCCAAGCGUUAUCCGGAAUCAUUGGGUUUAAAGGGUCCGUAGGCGGGUUUGUAAGUCAGUGGUGAAAGUCUGCAGCUCAACUGUAGAACUGCCAUUGAUACUGCAUACCUUGACUAAUUAUGAAGUGGUUAGAAUAUGUAGUGUAGCGGUGAAAUGCAUAGAUAUUACAUAGAAUACCGAUUGCGAAGGUAGAUCACUAAUAAUUUACUGACGCUGAUGGACGAAAGCGUAGGUAGCGAACAGGAUUAUAUACCCUGGUAGUCUACGCCGUAAACGAUGGUUACUAGCUGUUUGGCUCGAUUGAGAGCUGAGUGGCUAAUCGAAAGUGAUAAGUAACCCACCUGGGGAGUACGUUCGCAAGAAUGAAACUCACAGGAAUUGACGGCCGCCCCACAAGCGGUGGACCAUGUGGUUUAAUUCGAUGAUACCCCGAGGAACCCUUCCCCGGGCUUAAAUGUAUCUUGACUGGGUGGGAAACCCCUUUUUUCUUCCGGGCAAGUUUACACGGUGCUGCAUGGUUUGUCGUUCAGCUCGUGCCCCUGAGGUGUCAGGUUAAUUCCUAUAACUACCUCAUCCCCCUGGCGGUUAGCUUGCCCAGCGACUAAUGUCCGGAACUCUUACUCAGACUUGUCCGGUUGCCCAACCCUGGAGGAAGGUAGGGGAAUGACGUUCAAAUUCUCCACGGGUCCUUUACGCUCUUGUGUCCUCUCUACGUGGCCUACUUUGGUCAGGGAACAGAAUACCCAUCUCAUCUGGUCUUCACCUAGUUAGCUCAAUUUACUCAACCCUCUAUCCACGAUCUCUUCGAUUGGCCACUUUUGGUAUCUUCUUACCCUACUGGUUACGUCCCGGUAAUCGCCUAAUUUAUUUCUACUAAUUAUCAUUAUCCAUACGUCGCCCGGCGUUGGAAUAUACAGUGUAUCCCUCGCGGUCAUCUGGGCCAUACAUCCCCGGCCCCGCGUUAAUGCACCAUGGCUUAACGCUUGUGUGGUUGCGCCUACAUCCCGGUAAGAUAUUUAUUGCGCGUCGA
rnacentral:rRNA from 1 species